rnacentral:rRNA from 1 species
GACGAACGCUGGCGGCGCGCUUAACACAUGCAAGUCGAACGGAAAGGCCUGCUUUCCCUUGUGGAUUGCGGGUACUCGAGUGGCGAACGGGUGAGUAACACGUGAGUGAUCUGCCCCCAACUUGGGUAUAAGCCUGGGAAACUGGGUCUAAUUCCCGAUAGGACUGCAGGGUGGUGCCUGUGGUGGAAAACGAUUUUCUAGUGGUUGGGGAUGAGCUCGCGGCCUACCAGCUUGUUGGUGGGGUAAUGGCCUACCAAGGCGGCGACGGGUAGCCGGCCUGGGAGGGUGGACGGGCACAUUGGGACUGAGAUACGGCCCAGACUCCUACGGGAGGCAGCAGUGGGGAAUAUUGCACAAUGGGCGGAAGCCUGAUGCAGCGACGCCGCGUGGGGGAUGACGGCCUUCGGGUUGUAAACUCCUUUCGACCGCGAGGAAGCCACCUGGUUGGAAGGGUGGUGACGGUAGUGGUAGAAGAAGCGCCGGCUAACUACGUG